rnacentral:rRNA from 1 species
UACGUAGGCAGCGAGCGUUGUUCGGAGUUACUGGGCGUAAAGGGUGUGUAGGCGGUCCUCUAAGUUUGGUGUGAAAUCUCCCGGCUCAACCGGGAGGGUGCGCCGAAAACUGGGGGACUAGAGUGCGGGAUGGGAGAGUGGAAUUCCUGGUGUAGCGGUGAAAUGCGUAGAUAUCAGGAGGAACACCGGUGGUGUAGACGGCUCUCUGGACCGUAACUGACGCUGAGACGCGAAAGCGUGGGUAGCAAACAGG